rnacentral:rRNA from 1 species
AUUGAACGCUGGCGGCAUGCCUUACACAUGCAAGUCGAACGGCAGCACGGGGGCAACCCUGGUGGCGAGUGGCGGACGGGUGAGUAAAGCAUCGGAACGUAUCCUGGAGUGGGGGAUAACGUAGCGAAAGUUACGCUAAUACCGCAUAUUCUGUGAGCAGGAAAGCAGGGGAUCGCAAGACCUUGCGCUCUGGGAGCGGCCGAUGUCGGAUUAGCUAGUUGGUGGGUAAAGGCCUACCAAGGCGACGAUCCGUAGCUGGUCUGAGAGGACGACCAGCCACACUGGAACUGAGACACGGUCCAGACUCCUACGGGAGGCAGCAGUGGGAAUUUUGGACAAUGGCGCAAGCCUGAUCCAGCCAUGCCGCGU